rnacentral:rRNA from 1 species
AGAGUUUGAUCCUGGCUCAGAUUGAACGUUGGCGGCAGGCCUAAAACAUGCAAGUCGAACGGUAACAGCGAGAGCUUGCUCUCGGCUGACGAGUGGCGGACGGGUGAGUAACACGUAGGAAUCUACCUAGCAGUGGGGGACAACCCGGGGAAACCCGGGCUAAUACCGCAUACGCUCUACGGAGGAAAGCGGGGGAUCUUCGGACCUCGCGCUGCUAGAGGAGCCUGCGUCGGAUUAGCUAGUUGGUGGGGUAAAGGCCUACCAAGGCGACGAUCCGUAGCUGGUCUGAGAGGACGAUCAGCCACACUGGAACUGAGACACGGUCCAGACUCCUACGGGAGGCAGCAGUUAGGAAUCUUGGGCAAUGGGCGCAAGCCUGACCCAGCCAUGCCGCGUGUGUGAAGAAGGCCUUCGGGUUGUAAAGCACUUUCAGCGGUGAAGAAAAGCUCAGGGCCAAUACCCCUAGAGUCUUGACGUUAACCACAGAAGAAGCACCGGCUAACUCCGUGCCAGCAGCCGCGGUAAUACGGAGGGUGCGAACGUUAAUCGGAAUCACUGGGCGUAAAGCGCGCGUAGGCGGUCUGUUAAGUGGGAUGUGAAAUCCCCGGGCUUAACCUGGGAAUUGCAUUCCAAACUGGCGGACUAGAGUGCGGCAGAGGGAGGUAGAAUUUCCUGUGUAGCGGUGAAAUGCGUAGAUAUAGGAAGGAAUACCAGUGGCGAAGGCGGCCUCCUGGAUCGACACUGACGCUGAGGCGCGAAAGCGUGGGGAGCAACAGGAUUAGAUACCCUAGUAGUCC